GAUGAACGCUGGCGGCGUGCCUAAUACAUGCAAGUCGAGCGAACAGAUGAUGAGCUUGCUCCUCUGACGUUAGCGGCGGACGGGUUAGUAACACGUGGAUAACCUACCUAUAAGACUGGGAUAACUUCGGGAAACCGGAGCUAAUACCGGAUAAUAUAUUGAACCGCAUGGUUCAAUAGUGAAAGACGGUUUUGCUGUCACUUAUAGCUGGAUCCGCGCCGCAUUAGCUAGUUGGUAAGGUAACGGCUUACCAAGGCAACGAUGCGUAGCCGACCUGAGAGGGUGAUCGGCCACACUGGAACUGAGACACGGUCCAGACUCCUACGGGAGGCAGCAGUAGGGAAUCUUCCGCAAUGGGCGAAAGCCUGACGGAGCAACGCCGCGUGAGUGAUGAAGGUCUUCGGAUCGUAAAACUCUGUUAUUAGGGAAGAACAAAUGUGUAAGUAACUAUGCACGUCUUGACGGUACCUAAUCAGAAAGCCACGGCUAACUACGUG
rnacentral:rRNA from 1 species